ensembl:lncRNA
UUUUUCUGGAGUUCCCUCUUUGGUGAAGCUUUCCCUUGCGAACCUAGAAUCUUUUGAUACAGUUUUGAAAGACCAGAUCCAUUCAUUAGAAGAUGUACUUUGAAAAUACGGGAGACCAAGCAUUCAGAUAAACUGCCGAGCCAGACUGGUCAACCAGCUUCUGAGAAUGGGGGAAGUCUGAAAACAUAGGGGGCAAAUCAUAAAGCACAGUUGGAAAAUGUGAGGUUUGGAUGAGUAUCUUGGAAGAAAUCAGACUGAGCUCUUUGAAUCAGAGAUUCGUAUCAGUUUGAAAAGCCAGUGAGUAUGAAUGAGUGGCAGAAUCUCAGAUCUGACUGCUGACAUCAUCUUGGAGAAAGGCUGCGUUAAUCACUAUAGGGAUGAUGUGUGAGUGGUGUUGAUGCUUUGAAGGACCUGCAGGGAUGGAGACUGAAUAGAUAUGAUGCAAACCUCAAAGGUCCCAGCUGUGAAACACCAACCUGAGGAAUAGAUACAUUGACCUAGUAUUGUCACAUGCUCUGUAGGCUGGCAAAUUCUGAUGUGACUUUCAUAAUGGAUGCAACACAAAGUGUUUGUGCCACUUCAAAAUGCAGAUUUCUUAAUUUGUUAAUUUAUGUCACUUUUGUCAAUAAAUCACCACCUUAUUUCUUUCCUUCAUUUUUGAAGAGGCUAAUCUUUUUCACACCAUUCAGCCUUAAAAGUUUCAUCUAUUGUGGAAAUCUGAAGGUCUGUUUAAUUGAUGUAUCCAUUUGAUAAUGGCACUUAUCUGCAAAUCUAUUUUGCUGUUAGUCUCUUCUAAGUAGUCUAUUGGAUGAGGGUUCUCCUUUUUUUUCUUCUGUGUAGUCUGGAAACAUAUAUAAAGAAACCAACUCUUUCGAAGUUUCCUACGCUAAAGAUGUACGUACAUCAAAUACUAUCUGCACUGUAUUGUAGUCAAUUUGCGAAGACAGAGGACGUUUUGAUACCCUUCCUAGCUCUGUUGUGUGUUCUUUUUGUAAAGGAAAGACUGAGCUAAUGUAAGCCAGGCACCUUCCCUGAUAUUAUUGUUCCUCUUUGAUUUGCAUUCAAUGCAAAGUUGUAACAAUAGCUGCUACAUUCACUAAUGGUAUUCUAAUCUAUGAAACCUAAUUAUAAAAACUUAAAACCUCCAACUCUAAAGACUUCAAUAAGAGUUACAAGUCACAGCUUAGUUUUAAUUUGCACUGUAGUGAAAAAUAUCAUUAACAUUCACCUGCUGCAGCUCACGUGUCAUUGUAGUUGGGUGGCUGGGCACAUAUUUCAUCAGAAGUAAACCAACAAUUUGGUUUGCUCUUGUCCAAGGUUGAAGCGUUAUUUCCAACUAUCAGUGACAUUCAGGGUUAAACAAGCAGCAUACUGAUUCACUGUCAGACAAGGUAUCGUGAUGGGUUUUCUGGGGAGAAAAAUGUUGCAAGCUGAAAGCAGUUGCUGUUAUUGAAUAUGCAAUUCACAAAUAAGACACAUACGGGACAACUAUUACUGUAUGCAGUAUAUUGUAGUAGUAAUUGAAACAAAGGAAACAAACUGUUCUAAUGCUGACUUAGAAUUUGUUAUGGGGUGUCUUCUUUUAAAGAAGGUGACUGUUGGAAUAAUAUCUUAAUACUUGCUGUGAAUACUAUAUGUAUGUGAUUAUUUACUGUGUGUUGAGGAGGGUUUUUGGGGG